rnacentral:rRNA from 1 species
GACGAACGCUGGCGGCGUGCUUAACGCAUGCAAGUCGAACGGAAAGGCCCUGCUUUUGUGGGGUGCUCGAGUGGCGAACGGGUGAGUAACACGUGAGCAACCUGCCCUUGACUUUGGGAUAACUUCAGGAAACUGGGGCUAAUACCGGAUAGGAGCUCCUGCUGCAUGGUGGGGGUUGGAAAGUUUCGGCGGUUGGGGAUGGACUCGCGGCUUAUCAGCUUGUUGGUGGGGUAGUGGCUUACCAAGGCUUUGACGGGUAGCCGGCCUGAGAGGGUGACCGGCCACAUUGGGACUGAGAUACGGCCCAGACUCCUACGGGAGGCAGCAGUGGGGAAUAUUGCACAAUGGGCGGAAGCCUGAUGCAGCAACGCCGCGUGCGGGAUGACGGCCUUCGGGUUGUAAACCGCUUUCGCCUGUGACGAAGCGUGAGUGACGGUAAUGGGUAAAGAAGCACCGGCUAACUACGUG